AUGCAAGAAGCAGCGAAGACACCAAUCGCCUCGCCGCCUGGCGCCACAGCCGCCUCGACAGAUUCGCCGGCUCGCUACCGGCCGUCGCCGCUGGUCAUAUUCAGCGCCUGCCUCAUCCUGGUCGGCGCCGGCGGGCCGCUCCUGCUGCGGGUCUACUUCGUCCACGGCGGGCAACGCCUAUGGCUCUCCGCGCUGCUCCAGAUCUCCGGCUGGCCCCUCCUCCUCCCGCCCCUGUGCGUCUCUCUCUUCCACGGCCGCCGCCACGGCAUUGCCAACCUCCUCCUCCCGCCCCGCCUGGUCGGCGCGGCCGCCGUGCUCGGCGGGUUCUACGCCGUGUCCUGCUACGUGUACGCGAUGGGGUCGCAGGCGCUGCCGCUGUCCACGUCGUCGCUGCUGCUGGCGACGCAGCUCGCCUUCACCGCCGUGUUCGCGUUCCUCUUCGUCGGGCUCCGCUUCACGCCUUUCUCGGCCAACGCCGUCUUGCUGCUCACCAUCGGUCCGGCGGUGCUCAGAGCCGUGUUGGGCGCCGCCGGCACGAUGGUGUGCCUGCUCGGCAUGGCCAUCAAGGGCGACUUCGGGGCGCUGCGGAGCGAGGCGGCGUCGUUCGGGCUCGGCAAGACUAACUACUACCUGGUGCUCGUGUGGGACGCCGUGUCGUGGCAGCUGCUCAAUCUGGGCAUCAUGGGGCUCAUCACCUGCGCCUCCUCGCUCCUGGCCGGCAUCAUGAUCGCCGUCCUCCUGCCGCUUUCCCAGAUCCUCGCCGUCAUGUUCCUCCACGAGAAGUUCGACGGGCCAAAGGGCAUCGCGCUCGUGCUCUCCCUCUGGGGCUUCGCCUCCUACAUGUACGGGGAGAAGGUCCAGCAGAAGAAGGUGGAGGCGCAGAAGAGCGAGCUGCUGCAGCAGCAGGUGGCGAGCAAAACGGAAGACCUCGAGCUGGCUGCCCCUUGA
rnacentral:rRNA from 1 species